UUGGGCACAUGAUGUAGACACCACAACCAGAUGUGCCUGCCCAGACCUUGGACUGGGAGCUGGGGACAAUGAUGGAGAUGGCAUUGUGAAGACUGUUUCUCUAGCUGUGCAGCUGCAAGGUCACUAGACAGAUAAUCUGAAGUCGUAAAACAUGUUGUGCCUUAAAAAGUAAGAAAUAAUAUAAUGCAUGUCUCAAUUGAAUAACUGUCUUUGUUUCUCGCUUCUGUAAUAUGCUUCCCCCUGCACAGAUCUCCCCCCGCCCCACGAAAUGCUUAAAAGGUAGCUUGACUCUUUGUUCAGAGCUCAGUCCUUUGGAUGUUAAUCCAACUGGGUCGGUGCACCUAAAUAAUUAAAUAAUUGCUCCUCA
rnacentral:lncRNA from 1 species